GUCGUCUGCAAUCACCGUGACAAUGAACCCAACUUCGCCGCUUGAAAUGUUUUUUUCAUAGAAAUCCCGAAAAUGUACAUUGAGACUUGUCGCAGUACCAAAUGCUUGCCUCCUCUGAGAAUGUGCUUGAAACAAGAAUGUCCUGGAGAAAACAGACCGUCACAAGAGAAGAAGGAGGGCUUCCUGUAGAAAGAUCAUGGGGUGCAUUGAGGUUCCGGCCUUGAAUUUCUGCCCUUUACCUCAAAGCGAUGGCCUCUUGGAGGAGCAAAGCACAAUGGACUGGUGCCUGUACAUGUAAUGCAGAAGCUCAUGAUGAUAUGGUAGACAAGACAAGGACCUUGCUGUCUAAAGCUCAGAGGCCAGAUGAGAGUGUCUGAACCAGCUUGUCAGAAUUGGUUACAAAGAUGCAAGUGGACUUGUCUUCAGUAGUUAAAGAGGAGCAGUCAGCCGAAGGAGCACACAACUCCAAAACAAUGUGGAUACUGGAUACUUCUCUCCAGUUCAUCUCGAAUCAGACAUGGC
rnacentral:lncRNA from 1 species